rnacentral:rRNA from 1 species
UACGUAGGGGGCUAGCGUUGUCCGGAAUCAUUGGGCGUAAAGCGCGUGUAGGCGGCCCGGUAAGUCCGCUGUGAAAGUCGGGGGCUCAACCCUCGAAUGCCGGUGGAUACUGUCGGGCUAGAGUACGGAAGAGGCGAGUGGAAUUCCUGGUGUAGCGGUGAAAUGCGCAGAUAUCAGGAGGAACACCCAUUGCGAAGGCAGCUCGCUGGGACAUUACUGACGCUGAGACGCGAAAGCGUGGGGAGCAAACAGG